rnacentral:rRNA from 1 species
CAGUAGCCGCGGUAAUACGAAGGGGGCUAGCGUUGUUCGGAUUAACUGGGCGUAAAGGGCGCGUAGGCGGGUUUUUAAGUCAGAGGUGAAAUCCCAAGGCUCAACCUUGGAACUGCCUUUGAUACUGGGUGUCUUGAGUUCGGGAGAGGUGAGUGGAACUGCGAGUGUAGAGGUGAAAUUCGUAGAUAUUCGCAAGAACACCAGUGGCGAAGGCGGCUCACUGGCCCGAUACUGACGCUGAGGUGCGAAAGCGUGGGGAGCAAACAGGAUUAGAUACCCGCGUAGUCCCUGUCUCUUAUAC